GUGAGGAAUCUUGCGCAAUGGGGGCAACCCUGACGCAGCAACGCCGCGUGAGUGAUGAAGGCCUUCGGGUCGUAAAGCUCUGUCAGAUGGGAAGAAGAUUUCAAAGAUAAAUAAUCUUUGAAAUUGACGGUACCGUCAAAGGAAGCACCGGCUAACUCCGUGCCAGCAGCCGCGGUAAUACGGAGGGUGCAAGCGUUGUUCGGAAUUAUUGGGCGUAAAGAGCGUGUAGGCGGUCGGGUAAGUCAGGUGUGAAAUACCUUGGCUUAACCAAGGAAGUGCAUUUGAAACUGCCCGACUUGAGUACGGGAGGGGAAAGCGGAAUUCCCGGUGUAGAGGUGAAAUUCGUAGAUAUCGGGAGGAACACCGGUGGCGAAGGCGGCUUUCUGGACCGAGACUGACGCUGAGACGCGAAAGCGUGGGGAGCAAACAGGAUUAGAUACCCCAGUAGUCC
rnacentral:rRNA from 1 species